rnacentral:rRNA from 1 species
GACGAACGCUGGCGGCGUGCUUAACACAUGCAAGUCGUACGGUAAGGCCCUUUCGGGGGUACACAAGUGGCGAACGGGUGAGUAACACGUGAGUAACCUGCCCACAACUUUGGGAUAACGCUAGGAAACUGGUGCUAAUACUGGAUAUGUGCCCCUGCUGCAUGGUGGGGGUUGGAAAGCUCCGGCGGUUGUGGAUGGACUCGCGGCCUAUCAGCUUGUUGGUGGGGUAGUGGCCUACCAAGGCGGCGACGGGUAGCCGGCCUGAGAGGGUGACCGGCCACAUUGGGACUGAGAUACGGCCCAGACUCCUACGGGAGGCAGCAGUGGGGAAUAUUGCACAAUGGGCGCAAGCCUGAUGCAGCAACGCCGCGGGCGGGAUGACGGCCUUCGGGUUGUAAACCGCUUUCAGCAGGGACGAAGCUUUUUGUGACGGUACCUGCAGAAGAAGCACCGGCUAACUACGUG